rnacentral:lncRNA from 1 species
UUAUAGCAUUGUUCUUUGUGAUUUUAUCUUUCAAAUGAGUAUUUUUGGGAGAUUUUUGGGUGCCUGUAGCUAGGUUGUUUGAGCGGUGAAAGUUGGACGGUUUAAAAAUCGGUCAGGCCCACUCGUCAAUGCCUCCUUCCUUCUUUCCUGCGCUGGCUCGCUCGCCCAUUGGGCAGCGUCGGAACCGCCUGUAGGCCACCCGUCGCCGGACUGGCCGCCAUGACCUCACCCCACUCCUCCUUUAAAUGCUGACGCCGGCCUCCCCCGAAACACUAGCCAGCCACCACCUCCAAGCACCACCUCAAUUCCUUGCAGCCAGAACACCCUAGCGACGUCGCGCGUCUGUUUGAAUGUUCUCCUGCCCUUCCCUUUCCUCGUGCAGGGAGCUCGCCGGGCGCCUCUAUCCGUUGUCCCUAGCACCUCUAUUGUGCCGCCUCCUCCUUACUGCUGGGCCACUGUUGGUGAGCUCUACCACCUUGGGACACUGCCCAGCUGCUCCCCCCCCGCCAUGCCGUGCCAUCCCCCACCGUCGGCCAAGGUCACGGCCGGCCAUGUGCCGCCAGCCCCAUGCUCGUUCCAUGGGAAAGAGAAGAGAGAAGGAGAGGAGGUUUAUGGGAAAAUCCAGGGACCCAAGUGCAAGACACUAAUAGAUCUAAGGGCUGAGACGUAAAAUAACUUCGGUUUUCUUUAUUUCCUGGAGUUAGAUAGCUAAAAAGUUUGGAAAUGCAUAGAAAUGUGCAGAAAAAGUUAAAACUGCAAAACCUGUUUUGUUGUGUUUCUGUUGGUAUAUAGUUUAUUUCAAAAUUG